AAAGGUUUGACGCUAGCCUUUGUUCAAUUAAAGUAAAAUGUUUGACAAGAGUGAUUGAGACAUAAUCUGUUUUAUCAUCACUAUUACUUUGAAUUAAAUAUAGAUUUAAGAGGAGUACGGACUGUAUCCUUAGUUAAAAACCUACCUGUCCGUCAGCGAAUAGUUUAUUUCACAUGCCGAAAAAUGAAAUGCGGUUAAAUUUUAAAAAGAAAGACGGGGGACACGUUACAGCAAGAGAAGUGGACCCAUGUCCAGACUGAAGGACCGCUCCGAAGGUAGCCAUGAAAUUCACCAGGAGUGACAUCUGCAAUGCUAAUCCCUUGGAGAUAAUCCCUAAUGGACAUAAUAUACCCCUGUGCAACUUCUAGUACUUUGUGUUGCUGUCUGAUCUCAACCAGGCCCCUGUAGUAUUCUGAACCAGGAUCCCAAGGAAAGGACAUUCCAGUUCCAUCUGUCCAAGCUCACAUCCAGCAGCACCAGGUAUUGUGGCCCCUGGAGCCGUUCUGCCCUGCUGAGAGCCUCUGACCAGUACGAGCAACAAGACCACCGCCAUCGCUCACAACUUCCCCCCUUGAGACAAGGUUGAUACAAGCUUAUCUCAUUCCUUUGAAAGAAAAAGAGUCAAGUGUAGUCCUCAACACUAACAGGAGGUAACAAAGAGGGGAUCGCCUCGAGGGACCAGUAUUGAAUAUGCUGAAGAAAACUUGAAACCACUUUGGCCUGAUGGAACUUGCUCCAAGAGUAGUGAUGCCUAGGAAUGUCUGCAGUGUUAAAAUCCCAAAUGUUUUCCUUGAGUGUGUACCUGUGGAGGCAAGAGUGGCAAAUGGACAAUGAAGGGUGUGAAGAUAAGAGACGGGUCCAUUCCUCCAAGAAGAAGAAUGGCGAUGGAGAGGCGUCAAACUGUCAUCCGGCACCAGGGACUUUGUGAAGACUCUUGGCGGGCACUGUCUGCAUCCGGCUUU